AGAGUUUGAUCAUGGCUCAGAAUCAACGCUGGCGGCGUGCCUCAGACAUGCAAGUCGAACGAUUAAACUUUCCUUCGGGAGAGAUAUAAAGUGGCGCACGGGUGAGUAACACGUAGGUAAUGUACCUUUGGGUGGGGAAUAACUUAGGGAAACUUAAGCUAAUACCGCAUAAUGCAGCGGCUCCUUCGGGAGACAGUUGUUAAAGCGUUUACGCGCCUAAAGAGCAGCCUGCGGCAGAUUAGCUAGUUGGUAAGGUAACGGCUUACCAAGGCUACGAUCUGUAUCCGACCUGAGAGGGUGGUCGGACACACUGACACUGAAUAACGGGUCAGACUCCUACGGGAGGCAGCAGUCGGGAAUUUUGGGCAAUGGGCGAAAGCCUGACCCAGCAACGCCGCGUGAAGGAUGAAGUCUUUCGGGAUGUAAACUUCGUAAGAAUAGGAAGAAUAAAUGACGGUACUAUUUGUAAGGUCCGGCUAACUACGUGCCAGCAGCCGCGGUAAUACGUAGGGACCAAGCGUUGUUCGGAUUUACUGGGCGUAAAGGGCGCGUAGGCGGCGUGUCAAGUCAAUUGUGAAAUCUCCGAGCUUAACUCGGAACGGUCAAUUGAUACUGAUGUGCUAGAGUGCAGAAGGGGCAAUCGGAAUUCUUGGUGUAGCGGUGAAAUGCGUAGAUAUCAAGAGGAACACCUGAGGUGAAGACGGGUUGCUGGGCUGACACUGACGCUGAGGCGCGAAAGCUAGGGUAGCAAACGGGAUUAGAUACCCCCGUAGUCC
rnacentral:rRNA from 1 species